UUGUCUUUUCAACUGUUUGUUCCUUUCCGAGUCUUUCACCUCUUUUUGUUAAAAAGCAGGUAAAGAAGCAAUUUUAAUCUCUCUGAUCCAAUGGUUAAUAAAAUAAGGGGUAUAUAAACUGUCUGUUACUAAAAAUCGGGGGUUUUAAAUCUGGGGUGCUUCUGCCUGCUCUUUUACAUUUUAAUGAAACACUUAUGCCAAGGGGGCGAAAUUAAAAAAAAGGGUCUUCAGGUAGCCUGUUUUUCAAAGGGGUCUUCUUUUCUAAUCCACUACCUUCAAAAGGCUGUUUCAAGUGGUUCACACUAAAAACCUGCAAGGUGGGGGAGGAGACGGACUUUUUCUUAGUAAGGGUUUUGUGGGUUUAGGUCUGGGAUGCUUCUGCAUGCUCUUUUUUUAAUUGAAACACCCCUACAAAUAAAGAAAUGUGUCUUCAGGAUUGGUUCAGGAAAAUGAAUUCUAUGACGCUAUUGUAAAACCACCUCUGAUUGGGCUGAUCCAAAGGCGAUGAUAACAAGUCUGAGAGGGUCUGAACCUGAAAAGUUGCCUCAUUCUACAGAAAGACUGCAAAGGGUUUUUGUUCCUUCUCCAAGGUCCCACAGAAACAGGUGCCCCACAGAAACACCAUCUUUCUUCAGAAGUCCAAGUCAACUGAUUUCCCCAGAAGGAUCCUACUAUCUCUCCUACUGGGAAACACUCACUGAUUCCCCAUAAGGUUCCUGCCCCUGGGUGGGGGCCCAG